AAAAUGGGAGGUAAAUCUCUUCUAAAGCUAAAUAUUGGCCAGAGACCGAUAGCGCACAAGUAGAGUGAUCGAAAGAUGAAAAGCACCUUGAAAAGGGGGUUAAACAGUACGUGAAAUUGUUGAAAGGGAAGCGCUCAUGACCAGACUUGUGCUGGGCAGCUCAUCCGGGGUUCUCCCCGGUGCAUUCUGCCCAGUUCAGGCCAGCAUCGAUUUUUGCUGGGGGAUAAGAACGGUAGGAACGUGGCCCUCCUUCGGGAGGGUGUUAUAGCCUACCGUACGAUACCCUAGCGGAGAUCGAGGUUCGCGCAUCUGCAAGGAUGCUGGCGUAAUGGUCAUCAGCGACCCGUCUUGAAACACGGACCAAGGAGUCGUCCAUUAGAGCGAGCGUUUGGGUGUAAAACCCGCACGCGUAAUGAAAGUGAAAUUAGGUGAGAGCUUCGGCGCAUCAUCGACCGAUCCUGAUGUUCUCGGAUGGAUUUGAGUAAGAGUUUUAACGGACGGACCCGAAAGACAGUGAACUAUGCUUGUAUAGGGUGAAGCCAGAGGAAACUCUGGUGGAGGCUCGCAGCGGUUCUGACGUGCAAAUCGAUCGUCAAAUAUGAGCAUGGGGGCGAAAGACUAAUCGAACUGUCUAGUAGCUGGUUACCGCCGAAGUUUCCCUCAGGAUAGCAGUGUUGACCUUCAGUUUUAUGAGGUAAAGCGAAUGAUUAGGGACUCGGGGGCGCUUUUUAGCCUUCAUCCAUUCUCAAACUUUAAAUAUGUAAGAAGCCCUUGUUACUUAGUUGAACGUGGGCAUUCGAAUGUAUCAACACUAGUGGGCCAUUUUUGGUAAGCAGAACUGGCGAUGCGGGAUGAACCGAACGCGGGGUUAAGGCGCCAGAGUGUACGCUCAUCAGACACCACAAAAGGCGUUAGUACAUCUUGACAGCAGGACGGUGGCCAUGGAAGUCGGAAUCCGCUAAGGACUGUGUAACAACUCACCUGCCGAAUGUACU
rnacentral:rRNA from 1 species